rnacentral:piRNA from 1 species
UAGUAUGUAUGCUCUUUUGACCUGUUGGA